GAUGAACGCUAGCUACAGGCUUAACACAUGCAAGUCGCGUGGCAGCAUGGGGGUUGCUUGCAACCCCUGAUGGCGACCGGCGCACGGGUGAGUAACGCGUAUCCAACCUGCCCUUCACCACGGGAUAACCCGGCGAAAGUCGGACUAAUACCGUAUGUUGUCCAUUUACGUCCUCCGAUUUCGACGCACGGCUUGGGUGUCUACGGAUGGGGAUGCGUGCGAUUAGCUUUACGGCGGGGUAACGGCCCACCGUGGCUACGAUCGGUAGGGGUUGUGAGAGGAAGGUCCCCCACACUGGAACUGAGACACGGUCCAGACUCCUACGGGAGGCAGCAGUGAGGAAUAGUGGUCAAUGGGCGUAAGCCUGAACCAGCCAAGUAGCGUGCAGGAUGACGGCCCUAUGGGUUGUAAACUGCUGUUAUGCGGGGAUAAAGUGGCCCACGUGUGGGCUUUUGCAGGUACCGCAUGAAUAAGGACCGGCUAAUUCCGUG
rnacentral:rRNA from 1 species